AGCUUUGUGCAGUGGCAGUAUCAUAGCCAAAGAGGUUUGUCCAAGUUGUGAUUAUUGCUAAUCAAAAACUUUCCCAAUAACCCACCAUGAUGACUUGAAAUACAGUCAGCACUAGCAAUUUUUGAUAGAAGAGCCAUCCA
rnacentral:snRNA from 13 species